AUGAGAGGAAGACAGGAGGAGAAGACAGGAGAAAAGACACAUCAGAGGGACAGGAGGACAAGACAGGAGAAAAGACACAUCAGAGGAACAGGAGGAGAAGACAGGAGAAAAGACACAUCAGAGGGACAGGAGGAGAAGACAGGAGAAAAGACACAUCAGAGGGACAGGAGGAGAAGACAGGAGAAAAGACACAUCAGAGGGACAGGAGGAGAAGACAGGAGAAAAGACACAUCAGAGGGACAGGAGGAGAAGACAGGAGAAAAGACACAUCAGAGGGACAGGAGGACAAGACAGGAGAAAAGACACAUGAGAGGAAGACAGGAGGAAAAGACAGGAGAAAAGACACAUCAGAGGGACAGGAGGAGAAGACAGGAGAAAAGACAAAUCAGAGGGACAGGAGGACAAGACAGGAGAAAAGACACAUCAGAGGGACAGGAGGAGAAGACAGGAGAAAAGACACAGAGGGACAGGAGGAGAAGACAGGAGAAAAGACACAUGAGAGGAAGACAGGAGGACAAGACAGGAGAAAAGACACAUCAGAGGGACAGGAGGACAAGACAGGAGAAAAGACACGAGAGGAACAGGAGGAGAAGACAGGAGAAAAGACACAUCAGAGGGACAGGAGGAGAAGACAGGAGAAAAGACACGAGAGGAAGACAGGAGGAGAAGACAGGAGAAAAGACACAUCAGAGGAACAGGAGGACAAGACAGGAGAAAAGACACAUCAGAGGGACAGGAGGAGAAGACAGGAGAAAAGACAAAUCAGAGGGACAGGAGGACAAGACAGGAGAAAAGACACAUGAGAGGAAGACAAGACAGGAGAAAAGACACAUCAGAGGGACAGGAGGACAAGACAGGAGAAAAGACACAUCAGAGGGACAGGAGGAGAAGACAGGAGAAAAGACACAGAGGGACAGGAGGAGAAGACAGGAGAAAAGACACAUGAGAGGAAGACAGGAGGACAAGACAGGAGAAAAGACACAUCAGAGGGACAGGAGGAGAAGACAGGAGAAAAGACACAUCAGAGGGACAGGAGGAGAAGACAGGAGAAAAGACACAUCAGAGGGACAGGAGGAGAAGACAGGAGAAAAGACACAUCAGAGGGACAGGAGGAGAAGACAGGAGAAAAGACACAUCAGAGGGACAGGAGGAGAAGACAGGAGAAAAGACACAUCAGAGGGACAGGAGGAGAAGACAGGAGAAAAGACACAUCAGAGGGACAGGAGGAGAAGAACAAUAUUCCAUUAUUCACAUACUAUAAUAAUGCUGGAUUUGUAUUCUUAA
rnacentral:lncRNA from 8 species